rnacentral:lncRNA from 1 species
UAGAACAUGGACAUGGGCCUUCUAGAACAUGGACAUGAGUCACGGUUAUGGAGUCCAUCCGUUAUGUGGUUUACAACACUCCCCCUUGGAUGACAUAACCGUGUAGAUGCCAAAGGAUCUUUGUAAUGCGCUUGGGGAUGCUGCCUCAUUAAAACCUUACCAGGAAAACCCAUUGGGACAAAACCACGGUGAAGGAAAAAGAGUACAGCACGCAUUACUCCCCCUGUUUUGGUCAUCCCUGCAAGUCCUUAAGUCUCCGCAUUCCAAUUUGAUGUGUGAGCUUCCUUA